CCUCAACAGACGUCGCUAGUUAGUCCCAUCGGGAACGUUGUGGCGACGUGGUCCCUUGGUCUCUAUAGUAUAGGUCUACCAGUAUUUUAUUUACAAUAUAUUUACAAUUGAUAAAUAUAAAAUGCUUACAAUUUAAAAUGUUAGAUAUUUAUUCGUCAAGACUGACAUUCCAUUUAUACAUGCUAGAGAGAUAUUCAAGGCUUUAGAAUGUUGGCUGACGUUCCAGAAACGUCGUGGGCUCGUCCUCUACAGACGUCGCUAUUUGGUCCCAUGGGGAACGUUGUAGGGACGUGAUCCCAUGGUCUCUAGCCAGCAUACACAGUAUGUUGUGAGGACGUCGCCGGUUGGUCGUCAUUUGGUCAGCGUGACAUUACUUGACAACGUCGUGAGGACGUCGUGGUAACGUUCCAUUUUUCAGAAUUUUGGCUAAGGUCCCAGAAACGUCCUGUGCACGUUCUCAAAAGACGUCGCUAGUUAGUCGCAUGGGAACGUUGUAGCGACGUGGUCAGCUGGUCUGCAGAUAACUUUUCAUAUUAUUGCACUACAUGUAUUUGGCCUAUCUUUUUAAGGUGUAUACCAUUUGGAUAGCCUAUAAUAAGGGAAAUAUACUGAAUUAAUCAAGCAUUUUGCAUGAUGGCAUGAAUUGUUAUAGAAAUAUAAUAAUUAUGCCGUCAUUUAAAAUGUAGAUAUAUAUGUGUCAUCAAAUUAAUGACAAAACAAAACCAAAUAGUUUGUUGGCAAAUAACAAUAAUUCAUGCUUGUGAAUGACAGAAGAAAUUUAUUGAGAAACGGCAUCGGACAAGUGAACAUUUAAACCAGCGCACUUCACUUUUUGAGUGCUGCGUAAGUGCGCGUGCCCGUCACUUUAACGGUCAACUUCCAGCAGACGGACACGAAGGAAAAGGUCCUGACUGCCAAUGAACCAGGCAAUGAUUCAGUGGAGAGAUAGUCUGGGCAGCGCCAAGCCAACAACUAUUAUGAUUAUGAGUAGGGAUGAUUAUCAGAACAGGUACUGAUUUGGCUCCUGACUUGUUCAGUACUGAAAAACUGACAUAAGCUACAGGACCAACAGUGCUGCUAUUGGUGUUUUUGUAUUGUUGAUUCUUUCCUCUUUAGAAAUAACUGCAUAUCAUCCAAACCAUCUCCAAAUGAAUGGCUGCAAGGAUCCAGGAUCAUGAGAUAAUCCGUCAUGAAAACUGUUUCAUAGGAAUCAGCGAAUCCUGGGCCUGCCUGAUCAUUCUGUUGCCCUAGAUGUGAAGACACACUGGAACUGCAUUUCUCAUGGUUGAAAGAGUUGCGCAUCGAUAUCCAGACAUACAAGAAGCCUUCCUGGACCCACACGACAAAAUGCUCAGGAGGAGAGGCAGGAUUUUUUUGAGACUAUGGAGGAUAGCUGGACCUUGGUCUGCCUGGGGGAUCUGGGGCCAUGGUCUUGUAUUCAAAGGAAAGGUGAAAAAUGAGGAAGUCUGGGAAUGACUGAAGAAGGCAGCUGUGAGGGAAGGCAGUAAUCAUCAGAACGUGCCAGAGAAUGAUAUUGGCAGUACAGGCUCAGGAUGGCGAAGAGGAGGAAGAACAUAUUUGACAUCAGAGUACUCGGGUACUAUGGUCCUUUGGUAAUGACAAUAUUGUUUAGGUUUUGGUUUUGAUAGUGAAGCAGUAUUGAAACACAUCACCAUCAGAUAUUUGUAGCAGGUGUUUCAUACACAGGACACUCAGGAAACAAAUUAACUUAAAGUAAUAAAGAAGUCACUACUGAAUUGUUUCCUUUCUUUUUAUCAGUGUCUUUUUUUUAUACCAGAUUAUAGGGAGUUGUCAAUGAGUAUUGAUUAAUUAUUGAUCAUUUUUACCAAUAAAAUCGUUAACUAUACCCAUCAGUAAUGAGAAACUUUUCAGUAACAUUAAAACAAUUCAGUAAAAUUUACAAGAUUUAUGUAUUGAUGUGUUGAAUUAUCUGUGCUCAUGACUUGGUAACACUUUGCAUGGUUAAAGAAUAGGUGUAAUAUUCAAAAUGUAUUGGCUUACUGUUUGUAGAAAUAACACUAAAUAAAUGCUGAUUAAUAAAUGAAUGCACUGUUUUUGCUCAUUUAAUGUUUAGAAUGUAAUGUUUUUGUAAUGGUUUGCAUGUAUGUAUUGAAUAUAUUCACUAAAAUCUCCUAUAACGAUUAAAAAACAUUAGAAUUAAGUGUUUUAUUUUUUUUAUAGCAGAAAAUGUUUAUGAGUUUGUCAUUUAUAUACCUAUUUAAAGGUGGUACGAGCACAUCCUCUGGACCAGACUAAAGGUGAGAAGUAAAAAUUUUAAAUAUAAGGAACGUGGUAGUUUGGU